UGAGGAAUAUUGGUCAAUGGGCGCGAGCCUGAACCAGCCAAGUAGCGUGAAGGAUGAAGGCUCUAUGGGUCGUAAACUUCUUUUAUAUGGGAAUAAAGUGCAGUAUGUAUACUGUUUUGUAUGUACCAUAUGAAUAAGGAUCGGCUAACUCCGUGCCAGCAGCCGCGGUAAUACGGAGGAUCCAAGCGUUAUCCGGAUUUAUUGGGUUUAAAGGGAGCGUAGGCGGAUUGUUAAGUCAGUUGUGAAAGUUUGCGGCUCAACCGUAAAAUUGCAGUUGAUACUGGCAGUCUUGAGUACAGUAGAGGUAAGCGGGAUUCGUGGUGUAGCGGUGAAAUGCUUAGAUAUCACGAAGAACUCCAAUUGCGAAGGCAGCUUGCUGGACUGUCACUGACGCUGAUGCUCGAAAGUGUGGGUAUCAAACA
rnacentral:rRNA from 1 species